AUCACUAGAGGAUCUUGUUAAAACGCAGACUCUGAUUCAGUAGGCCUGUGUGGGCCCUGAGGUUCUGCAUUUCUAACAAGUUUCCAGAUGAUGCCAAU
rnacentral:miRNA from 1 species